GUGCUCGUAAAAAAGAGAGCUAGUUUGCAUCUCCAUCUACAAGGAUGGAAUCAACCUUCUUGGGAGUGGACUAGCUAGUUGGGCGGCCUAGAUGGAUUAUCACUCUUGAUAGUUAGGCUAGAAGUUGACUGGAUUACUAGAUAUUGUGG
rnacentral:ncRNA from 1 species